CUGGAUGGGAGGAAGAGAACAGCCCACCCCCUGCAUGUCCCCUGGCUGCCUUACCAACUCCUAGUUGCACAGCUACAUGGCACCCUAUGCCCAUCUGGGCUGCAGCCUUUGCUGCUGCAGCUAGAGUGGAAGUGGGCAGUAUGUGGCUGGGCUGCUGGAAACAAAGCAGUAGUGGGCAGAGUUGAUCUGCUCCUUGCCCACUGCCUGUCAUUCUGUGCCCCCUCCUCACCUCUGAGACUCUGUCCCCUGGCUCUUGUCACAAGCUGUUCAUAAUACCAAGGUUAUAAAAAUGCUGUGCAAUUAAAGAAAAAAGAAACAGGAAAGGCUUUUGAAAACAGCUUUGAGGCAAAGUGCUGAGAAUCACACUUCCUUACCCCACAUAGCAUCUCGGUUUCCAGCUUGAACUCACCAACAAAGACUUUACCCAAAACUUUAGGACCGAUAACCAUGAGUGCUGGAGCCCAAAUGACGAUGGCACCGC
ensembl:lncRNA